GAUGAAGAACGCAGCGAAAUGCGAUAAGUAAUGUGAAUUGCAGAAUUCAGUGAAUCAUCGAAUCUUUGAACGCACAUUGCGCCCUCUGGUAUUCCGGGGGGCAUGCCUGUUCGAGCGUCAUUAUAACCACUCAAGCUCUCGCUUGGUAUUGGGGUUCGCGGUUCCGCGGCCCCUAAAAUCAGUGGCGGUGCCUGUCGGCUCUACGUGUAGUAAUACUCCUCGCGAUUGAGUCCGGUAGGUCUACUUGCCAGCAACCCCCAAUUUUUACAGGUUGACCUCGGAUCAGGUAGGGAUACCCGCUGAACUUAAGCAUAUCAAUAAGCGGAGGA
rnacentral:misc_RNA from 1 species